rnacentral:rRNA from 1 species
AUUGAACGCUGGCCGCCGGCCUAACACAUGCAAGUCGAGGGGAUGAGAGGAGCUUGCUUCGCGAUUGAGCGGGGGACGGGUGAGUAACGCCUAGGAAUCUGCCUGGUAGUGGGGGACAACGUUGCGAAAGGAACGAAAAUACCGCAUACGUCCUACGGGAAAAAGCAGGGGACCUUCGGGCCUUGCGCUAGCAGAUGAGCCUAGGUCGGAUUAGCUAGUUGGUGAGGUAAUGGCUCACCGAGGCGACGAUCCGUAACUGGUGUGAGAGGAUGAUCAGUCACACUGGAACUGAGACACGGUCCAGACUCCUACGGGAGGCAGCAGUGGGGAAUAUUGGACAAUGGGCGAAAGCCUGAUCCAGCCAUGCCGCGUGUGUGAAGAAGGUCUUCGGAUUGUAAAGCACUUUAAGUUGGGAGGAAGGGUUGUAGAUUAAUACUCUGCAAUUUUGACGUUACCGACAGAAUAAGCACCGGCUAACUCUGUGCCAGCCGCCGCCGUAAAAC